UACGAAGGGGGCUAGCGUUGCUCGGAAUCACUGGGCGUAAAGGGUGCGUAGGCGGGCCUUUAAGUCAGGGGUGAAAUCCCGGAGCUCAACUCCAGAACUGCCUUUGAUACUGAGGAUCUUGAGUUCGGGAGAGGUGAGUGGAACUGCGAGUGUAGAGGUGAAAUUCGUAGAUAUUUGCAAGAACACCGGUGGCGAAGGCGGCCCGCUGGGCAGGAAGGCUCGCAAGAGCCGGCUGACGCUGAGGCGCGACAGCGUGGGGAGCAAACAGG
rnacentral:rRNA from 1 species